UGGGGAAUCUUGCACAAUGGGGGAAACCCUGAUGCAGCGACGCCUCGUGAACGAUGAAGCCCUUCGGGGUGUAAAGUUCUUUCGACGGGAACGAUAAUGACGGUACCCGGAGAAGAAGCUGCGGCUAACUACGUGCCAGCAGCCGCGGUAAUACGUAGGCAGCGAGCGUUGUUCGGAAUUACUGGGCGUAAAGCGUGCGCAGGCGGUUCUAUAAGACAGAUGUGAAAUCCCCGGGCUUAACCUGGGAACUGCGUUUGUGACUGUAGGACUUGAGUGUGGCAGAGGGGGGUGGAAUUCCACGUGUAGCAGUGAAAUGCGUAGAGAUGUGGAGGAAUACCAAUGGCGAAGGCAGCCCCCUGGGAUAAUAUUGACGCUCAUGCACGAAAGCGUGGGGAGCAAACAGG
rnacentral:rRNA from 1 species